rnacentral:misc_RNA from 1 species
AAGUCGUAACAAGGUUCCCGUAGGUGAACCUGCGGGAGGAUCAUUAGAGAUUCGAUAAAUUCGAAUGAAAAAGACAGGCUCGAUGCAUCGAGUUUUUGGGCUACCGUUGUUUAUGAUGCCCGGGCCUGACAGGAAUUGAUCGGAACAAAACUGGUAGCAAACAAACAAACUCGUUUCAGAGAUCGCAAACUUACUGUUGGGGUUGUUAUGGCCACUCGGCUGCAGGACUGGUAAUAAGGUCCCUGCAGUCGGCCGGUCGAGAGCUUUGCCUCGAGCAUAGCAAACAUUAAAGAGCUGCGGUCUUGUGCUUUCGUUGCCUCGCGGCAGCGAGCAUGAGCCGCCCCAACGCUUUCACACCGUUUUCACAAAUGUUGCAAACGAAACCGACAAAAACUAAAUAAGAUACAACUACGAGUGGUGGAUCACUCGGCUCACGG